rnacentral:rRNA from 1 species
UACGUAGGGGGCAAGCGUUGUCCGGAUUUAUUGGGCGUAAAGAGCUCGUAGGCGGUUCGACAAGUCGGAUGUGAAAUCUCCACGCUCAACGUGGAGGGGCCAUUCGAAACUGUCGUGACUUGAGUCCGGUAGGGGAGUGUGGAAUUCCUGGUGUAGCGGUGAAAUGCGCAGAUAUCAGGAGGAACACCAAUUGCGAAGGCAGCUCGCUGGGACGUUACUGACGCUGAGACGCGAAAGCGUGGGGAGCAAACAGG